UGGGGAAUCUUGGACAAUGGGGGCAACCCUGAUCCAGCGAUGCCGCGUGAGCGAUGAAGGCCUUAGGGUUGUAAAGCUCUUUCACCGGUGACGAUAAUGACGGUAGCCGGAGAAGAAGCCCCGGCUAACUCCGUGCCAGCAGCCGCGGUAAUACGGAGGGGGCUAGCGUUGUUCGGAAUUACUGGGCGUAAAGCGCGCGUAGGCGGAUGUUCAAGUCGGGGGUGAAAUCCCGGGGCUCAACCCCGGAACUGCCCUUGAAACUAGGUAGCUAGAAUACUGGAGAGGUGAGUGGAAUUCCGAGUGUAGAGGUGAAAUUCGUAGAUAUUCGGAAGAACACCAGUGGCGAAGGCGACUCACUGGACAGUUAUUGACGCUGAGGUGCGAAAGCGUGGGGAGCAAACAGGAUUAGAUACCCCUGUAGUCC
rnacentral:rRNA from 1 species